AAAACAAAGUUUCUCUUCCUCUUAUUUUCCCUUCCUUCCCCUUCUCUCACCUCCUCCCAAACAGACCAUUCGACUAACCCCUCUCCGAUGAAUCCCUCUCUUCCAAACACCUUCAAACAAUGAGAUUUUUUUAGGACUAGUCGCACCUUGCCUUGAAAGCCUUCACUGUCGCCCGAAGCGAGCAGUGGUACCACGUCGAUCUCAACCUCUACGCGUCUCCACCUUGUCCAGGUGUGGAUCACCACAUGAGAUCGAUACCCUAGUUGCCGAUCUAAUGGAGGAGGAGGGAUGGCUCUCCGCGGAGAUCGCCAAGAGGGUUCCCUAGCUCGUUAGGGCUCUGAUGGUCGAUCAGCGGCGAGGAGGAGAGCCAAUAGGCGAGCCGAUCGGCGGCGUAGAAGGUCAAGAUUGGAUUUUACUUCACCAUGUGGUGGGCGUUGAACGUGGUGUUCAACAUCUACAAUAAGAUGGUUCUCAACGCCUUCCCCUACCCUUGGUUGACCUCCACACUCUCCCUCGCUGCCGGCUAGCUCCCUCAUGUUUUAGGUCAAGUUAGAUUUAACCUCUUCAAAGCACACAACAUUGAAACAACAAAAAAGAUUCGUGCCAAUGCAAAUGUCCGUUACGCAUGGCUUGCUUCCUCUAAGGAUGCGGUGGACGAGAUGAUGUUUCAUGGGGUUCUGAAGCAACCUGUGCAGAAACGACUUUAUGGAAAUGGGCUUCAUCUUGCCCUUGCAAAUUGCUCUGAUAUCUGAAUAUAUAGUGACAUUUAAAAUGACCGACAAACUUAAAGCAUUUUUGAAUUGGAAAGGAAGUGAAUCUCAUGCUUUCCAGAAUUCUAGUUCAUCCGACUGCUUAUUACAGCUGUGAAUUCCACACAAGACAACACAAAAUCUUUGUAGGGAAGAAAUGUGAAGUGCAAUGAAUAGUCAGUUGAAGAUAUUUUGAAGGUGAAUGGAGGUAUUCAGAAACUCCAGUUAAAUAGCUUGGGUAUGAAUGAUUACAGGAGCAACAAUUAUAUGCUAUAUGACACUACAUCUGAACCCCAAGUGUGUGACUGGGAAGUACUUUGGCGAAUAACUAUCAAGAAGACUUUGGUAUUUAAGCGAGAAAAUGGUUAAAGCCAAUGAGUAAAGAACAUUCAAGUCAAAAGGAUAAGUAGCAUCUAUCAAGAUCCUUUAAGUUCAUACAAUAAGAUGUAGUCGAGAAGAGUAGUUUUGAGUUCUUCUAAUUAAAAUUUCUUUAUAUGCGAGAAAUUAUGUUUAUUAUAGAAGUGUAAGGAUAAUAAUUUAUAUAUUUAUUUUGGUUGUUUAUCUAAUAA